ACUUACCCUUCAGUAAGUCUUCACAGACAGCUUGUAAAUAGGAACAGAAGAGAGAGAAGUGUUUGCACACACUGAGCACACAGCUGAAAGAUGAUACACGCAGACAAAAGGAGUGAUGCUCUUCAGUAUAAACCAGAAAUGAAGAUAACAGGCAGGGCUAGAAAACCUGUGGCUUUCUAGAUGUUGGACUGCAACUUUCAUCUGUUGGCUACAUGGAGCUGCAAUACACCAACAUGUGGAGGAGCCCAAGGUCUAAGGAAAGCUAAGAAUUGAGGACCAAAGGGAUUGAAGAAGGACUUCCAGAAACAUCAUCUUCUGCUAGAUGACAAUCGUUGUCAAAAUAUUAAGAUGUUGUUGAACUAUCUACACCAACUAAAAAAAAACCAUCUUAAUACUGCAUGAUGCACAACAGCCCUGCUUAUAAAACAAGAAUAAACCAAAACCCAAGAAAGGCAAGGACUGGAAUACUAGUCAGGACUGAAGCUACAAUGGCUGGACCCAAACACAGGGAAAUUCUAGAAGAAAACCUGCUUCAGUCUUCAGGAGACCUGGGAUUGAGUUGGAGGUUCACCAAUGAUGAACCUGGAGUGGAGGCUCACCAACAGCACAACAGUGACCCUAAACACACAAUCAAAACAACACUGGAAUGGCUUUUUAAAAAGAACCCGGAUGUCUUAAAAAUGAUCCCGGUCAGAGCCCAGACCCCAAUCAGACUGAGAUUCUAUGGCAAGACUUGAAAGCUGCUGUAUGCCAAGAACCCCCAUCAAACCUGGAUGGCGUACUGUAAUCUUGCCAAGAAAAAAUGGGCAACACUGGCAGGUUCCAAACAUGCAAAGCUGCUAAAAGCUUUCCCAAGAAGACUCACAGCAGUAAUUGCUGCCAAAAGUGUUUCUACCAAGUACUGACUCAGGGCAAUGAAUAUUUAGACAAUAAAGAGCCAAUUUGUUUUUAUUUACCUACUGUUUGUGCCACAAUAAAAAUGUUUUGUACCUUCAUAUUAUUGAAUAUUUUUGUGUACAUCAAAUCGUAACAAAGCCAAUUAAAUCAAUUUAAAAUCUAAAUGGAUCCAUUAAGGGAUCCAUUAAAUCCAUUUCAAUCUCAUGUAUUCCACAAAAAUGUAGAAAACAUAACAGGGGUUAAUCCUUCUACCAGGCACUUUAUGCUAAGGGUAACAAAUAGGCAUGCAUCUCAUGGUUAGUCUAGUUUUUUAAAAUGACAUUGCUUAAUUUUAAUUACUUUCAAUAUGUCUGCAUAUUUGUACUCCAGUGCUAUCUUCAGUCACAAGGUGGCAGACUUCCCUAACCAGGGUAUAGACUUUCAAUCAAUAUCAUUUUAAAACUCAGGAGAGUAGCCUCUUAUGGGACUGUCCCCUUCUUGCUGUGGCCCAGCACUUCUCAAGGGAAGACCCUACUAUAGGGAGCUACAAGGAUAUAUCAUGACAGAAGGCAUGCUUUAGUGAACCAGUGGUAGAGUAAAAGGAAUCAAGGCCAAUGUGCUGUUAAGGGUCCAAAACUUUAUUAUCUUAAAAAAGCCCAAUGCAUUUCAGCCUUGUCACUAAUUGGCCUUCUUCAGGGGCUGUUACCAGAAAUUUCUGGAAUUGCAGCCUGCACAUUCAACGAAGUGGACACUGAGUAUUAGGAGGAGUCCUUGUGGUACAAUAGUUAAAUGUUUGUACUGUAGCCUCUCACAGCCACAAGGUUGUGCGAUCCUGCAGGGCUCCAGGGUCGACUCAGCUUUGCAUCCUUCCAUAGGUCGCUAAAAUGAACACCCAGCUUGUUGGGGGCAAUUAGCUUACACACUGUAAAUUGCUUGGGGCGUGCUUAAGGGCACUGAUAAGCAGUAUAGAAAUGUACUUGCUAUUGCUAUUUGUUCAAACAUUCAGCCACCUUUAAAUGUGUUGCUUAGUAUCAUGGCAUGAAAUUAGGUGCUUUAAAUCCACCUUUCUCCUCUUGGUUUUUUUCUUCUAGUUUUUGCUGUAACACC